UGAGUUGACACAGCACAUGUUUCAGA
rnacentral:piRNA from 1 species